rnacentral:rRNA from 1 species
UACCAGACUCCUACGGGAGGCAGCAGUGGGGAAUAUUGCACAAUAGGGGAAACCCUGAUGCAGCGACGCCGCGUGAGUGAAGAAGUCAUUCGGUAUGUAAAGCUCUCUCAGCAGGGAAGAAAAUGACGGUACCUGACUAAGAAGCUCCGGCUAAAUACGUGCCAGCAGCCGCGGUAAUACGUAUGGAGCAAGCGUUAUCCGGAUUUACUGGGUGUAAAGGGAGCGCAGGCGGCUUUGCAAGUCUGAUGUGAAAGGCCAGGGCUCAACCCUGGGACUGCAUUGGAAACUGUAAAGCUAGAGUGCCGGAGAGGUAAGCGGAAUUCCUAGUGUAGCGGUGAAAUGCGUAGAUAUUAGGAGGAACACCAGUGGCGAAGGCGGCUUACUGGACGGCAACUGACGCUGAGGCUCGAAAGCGUGGGGAGCAAACAGGAUUAGAUACCCCCGUA